GACAGAGGUCCCGAGCGUUAGGCGGAAUCACUGGGCUUAAAGCGUGUGUAGGCGGAUCGUUAAGUGCCUUGUGAAAUCCCACGGCUUAACCGUGGAACUGCUUGGCAUACUGGCGGUCUUGAGCCACCUAGGGGCAACCGGAACAAACGGUGGAGCGGUGAAAUGCGUAGAUAUCAUCUGGAACGCCAAUGGUGAAAACAGCUCGCUGGGGGUGUGCAGACGCUGAGACACGAAAGCCAGGGGAGCGAACGGG
rnacentral:rRNA from 1 species